UCAAGACGCUCUUCAACGUGGUAUAACUAGUUUGGCGGAAGAACCACGUUUGCGGAAAGUUGGAAUUUGAAGGAAAGAUUUUGGACGAAAUUGAAGUCGACGCCAAGCGAGCGUAAGGCGCUAUCGAGGUACAGACGCACCAGGUGAUACGCCGCCAGCGUAGGGUUCUGAUUCAGCUGUUUUGAAGAGCUCCUUUGAUCCGGAGCAUACACUUUUGGUAUAUAUCUUCUGUUUUCCGUAUGUUCUGCAUGUAUGGAAAUUCUG